AGUAGCACUUCAUCUUUUGGCAUGUCGUCCUCUUUCCCUCAGGAUGUGUGUCUCCAGAUCAGAUCCUGUGCUCGACAGACAUGCUGAUUACAGCAGAAUCAUUGCGCUGCCUGGAACGGAUGAAUAGCUAACAUACCUGCGUAAGCCGGGCACCAUUAAUGGAUUAGCAUGAGCAGGCACAGGGGAAUGUGGUGCCCGCGGGGAGCAGAGGGUAUUUAAGAGUCCUGCUGGACGCUUCUCUCUUACGCCACACCGCUAGGACUCUGAGUGCAUGUGCUCAGUAUCAUGGCUUCCUUUAAGAAGUCUCUGGAGGGGCUGAAGAACAGCUCACAGUCGGCCACUAAAGGCGUCACGGACUCAGCAGUUCAAGCAGCUCAAGAUGCCGUGCAGCAGGUGGCAGAAUCUUCCAAAGAAGCCACCAGCACAGCUGCUGAGGAGGCAUCCAGACAAACACAGUCUGCUAUAGGCACAGCUGCAGGGAAAGCAUCAGACACCAUUAAGGAGUUUGGACACAAACUGAGCUCCAAAUAAACGCUGCGCUGCCUAAACACUCUGACGCUCCUUUUUUAUCAUGACAAAUUCAGUUUUAAACCUUACAGACUGAACUGUAGCGGCUUGGAAAUGUAGCGGCGUCUUUCCACAAGCAGAUCCAAUGCAAGAGAAGAUUUCAUUUGCGUUUAAUUGUUGAUGAUGAUAUUUUUCCAAAGUCUGUUCAAAGAUGCCUGUGCUUUCAAAAUACACGAUACAUUACGCUCA